rnacentral:lncRNA from 1 species
UUAUUUAUCCAUUUUUUGUUUAUCAUUUGAAUUAUUAUAGGGAUGGCCAAAAAAAAAAAAAAAAGAGAGAGAGGAAAAAACUCGUCAAAUGAGCCCCGAACAGGGAGGGGAUUACUCGCUUAAUCGGGUAUUCAGGACGGGUUUGGAGUGAGGAAUUCCGUCCCGACCCAGGUACGAGUAACACCUGUCCUGUCUCGUUAUUAUUUAUUUUUAAAAUCAAAUACUUCAAAUGAAAAACUCUACAAAAUUUCAUUAAUUAUAAUAAAAGAUAUCAACUAAAAUUAUCUAAAGAGUAUGAGAAAUAAUAAAAAUCUUAAUUUAUUAAAUAUAUUCGAAUAAUUUAACUUUUAAAAAUAAAUAAAUUAAUUAAAAUUUUUAAUAUCUUUAUUAUUGCCUCACUUUAAUUAAUAGGGUAAUAAAAAGAAUUAUAAAAACUUAAAAAAGGUUACAUAAAUGGGUAAAGGCCCCGCUCCAACGCCCCAUCCCUCCUUAAAUGGGUCGCCCUACCCCGAAGCCGCCCCGUUGCAAUCUCUAAAUAAUUGUCAUGUUCUCAAUCUUUUUAACACAUAUUAUAAUUUAAUAAUUUAAUACUUAUAGAUCUAUCUAUUAUAAAUAGUUCGUUGUUGUUUUUGAAGUAGCACAAUAUUAUAAUUAAUAUUCUUAAAGAAUAUUACUUGCUCAUGAAGAGGAGGAACUAUUUUUUUUUUAAUAUUUCAGAAGAAUAUUAAUUGCUCAAUAUGAAUUAUAUUUUUUUAAUAUUCCAAAAAGAAUAUUGACAUAUUACUUUUGAAUAAGCAUUAGUAAAAUACAACAUGCUUCCGAAGUAACACAUAUUUCGAAGAAUAUAUUAUUUUAAAUUAGUGUUUAUCCCUGAAAGAAAAGUACGUAACUUAUGUCAUAUGGAUAUUACUUGAUUAAUCAUUAUGUGGUGUUUAAUAAUAUUUUUCAAAAGUAAUUGUACUUCUUCAUUGUGUAGUUAAUCAAGUGACAAACAUCACAAAAGUUGAGUUUGUUACACUUGGCUUAUCUGGCACAAAUUAUCUAUCAUGGAUCUCUGAUGCCAAUAUCCAUAUUGUUUCAAAAAGGUUUGCGAGAGACAAGAAAAGCAGAAAACAAAGAAUUCUUACCGGAUCAUGCAAAAGUACUCAUCUUUCUUCAUCUUCAUUUUUACAAUGGAUUGAAAAUUAAAUACCUCACUAAAAAAUAUCCACAAAUUUUUUGAAAAAAAUGAACCGAAAUAUUUGAUCAUCAGAGGACUAUAGUCUUCUCCAAAGCUCACUAUGAGUGGAUGCACCUUCAUUUGCAAGACCUCAAAAUUGGUAGUGAGUACAAUUCUGAUAUUCAAAAUUAACUUUGUAUGGGAAAAAAAUCACUGAUGAAGAUAUGUUAGAGAAAACAUUUUUCAUCUUUUAUGCUUCAAAUGUGCUCCCACAAUAAUAAUAUCGUGAGCGUGGUUUCAAAGCGUACUAAGAACUCAUGUUUUACCUGCUUGUGGUUGCACAAAAUAACGAAUUUGUUUAUGAAAAAUCAUGGAUUACGUCUAAUUAGUUCUGUACCAUUGCCUGAAACAAAUACAAUAUUAAGACGUGGAUGUGGACAUGAAUAUGGGCAUGGAUGCGAACGUGCACGUGGAAUAAACCAUGAAUGAAAUAAUCAACAAAGUUAUCAACAAUAAAAAACAAUUUCAAAAGGUACAAUGAAAUUAGUAUAUCCAAAAAGAAGCAUGAAAAAAAUUGUUUUAGAUGUGGAAUGAAAGGAAAUUGGACACAUAACAUCAUACAGUAAAAUAUUUUAUGGAUCUUUACCAAAAAUCAAUUAAUGGAAAGGGAAAAGUAUAGACAAAUUUUGCUGAUUAUGAUGGCUCAAUUGAUGUGAUCCAUUUGGAUGUCUCCGAUUUUUUUAUUGAUUCAAAUGGAAAUAUUGAUCAUUUGAUUGUGGUGGUGUGAUGAAAGAUAUAAAUUAGUUUAUUUUUUAUGUUUCUAGUAUUUCCCUUUAUUUUAGAUAUUUAGCAUGAAAUAUGUUUUUACAUUUCUUAAAAAAGAAAAAUAAAAAAAUUAUGCAUUGUAAAUUUCAUAGUAUUGAAUUGUAUUUAACGUUUUAAAUUUAAAUUCAAGCUUUUUAAAUAUAUUUAUUUUGAUGAAUAAUGUGUG